rnacentral:rRNA from 1 species
GAGGGUGAGAAUCCCGUGCUUGGCUGGCUGUCCCCGUCCAUGUGAGGUGUCUUCGACGAGUCGAGUUGUUUGGGAAUGCAGCUCAAAAUGGGUGGUAAAUUUCAUCUAAAGCUAAAUAUUGGUGGGAGACCGAUAGCGCACAAGUAGAGUGAUCGAAAGAUGAAAAGCACUUUGAAAAUAGAGUUAAAAAGUACGUGAAAUUGUUGAAAGGGAAGCGCUUGAGACCAGACUUCGGUAAGGGGUGAUCAGCCGUCCUUCUGGGCGGUGCACUUGCCCCCCUCCGGGCCAGCAUCGGUUGAGGCGGCGGGAUAAAGGUCCCGGGAAUGUGGCUCCUUCACGGGAGUGUUAUAGCCCGGGUGAAUGCCGCCAGCUUCGACCGAGGACCGCACCCGCAAGGGUUAGGAUGCUUGGCAUAAUGGUCUUCAGCGACCCGUCUUGAAACACGGACCAAGGAGUCUAACAUCUAUGCGAGUGUUUGGGUGUCAAACCCUUGCGCGAAAUGAAAGUGAACGGAGGUGGGAACCCGCAAGGGCGCACCAUCGACCGGUCCCGAAGUCUUCUGAAGGAUCUGAGUAGGAGCAUAGCUGUUGGGACCCGAAAGAUGGUGAACUAUGCCUGAAUAGGGUGAAGCCAGAGGAAACUCUGGUGGAGGCUCGCAGCGGUUCUGACGUGCAAAUCGAUCGUCAAAUUUGGGUAUAGGGG